GGGGAAUCUUGCGCAAUGGGCGAAAGCCUGACGCAGCAACGCCGCGUGCGGGAUGACGGCCUUCGUGGUUGUAAACCGCUUUCAGCAGGGACGAAAUUGACGGUACCUGCAGAAGAAGCCCCGGCUAACUACGUGCCAGCAGCCGCGGUAAUACGUAGGGGGCAAGCGUCGUCCGGAAUCAUUGGGCGUAAAGAGCUCGUAGGCGGUUCAGUAAGUCGGGUGUGAAAGCUCCGAGCUCAACUCGGAGAGGCCACUCGAUACUGCUGUGACUAGAAUCCAGUAGGGGAGUGUGGAACUCCUGGUGUAGCGGUGAAAUGCGCAGAUAUCAGGAAGAACACCAGCGGCGAAGGCGGCACUCUGGGCUGGUAUUGACGCUGAGGAGCGAAAGUGUGGGUAGCAAAC
rnacentral:rRNA from 1 species